rnacentral:misc_RNA from 1 species
AUGAGUUGUGAAGGGGUUUGAUGCUGGCACCCAAAUUUUGGAUGCAUGUGCUCGCCCUGACAAUCAUCUUCCAAACACCUGUGCACAUUUUUGAGGGAAUUUUGAGUUGAUUACCAUUUUGGGGUGAUUUUCUUGCAUUCCCUUAAAUUACUAUACGCUGAUAACAAUGUUGAACGUGUUUUGUGCCGCAAGGCCAUUAAUAUAAUA